CCAGGUGAUGGAGGAUAAUGGGAGGGGGAGUGAAACACCCGGUGAUGGGUGAUAACGGGAGGGGGAGUGAAACACCAGGUGAUGUGUGUUGAAAUAAUGUGGGGUGAGUGAAGAGCUGGGAAGGUGAUUUAGUGGAAGAGAUAUAGGGCUGGAGAAGGGGAAUCUGGUAGGAGAGGACAGAAGGCCUUGGAAGAAAGAAAACAGGAGAGGAACACCAGAGGGAAAUGAUGGGCAGGCAAAGAGCAAGUGUGAGAGGUAAAAGGGGAAGGGGAAUGGUGAAAGAAGGGCAGUUACUGGAAGUUUGAGAAAUCGAUGUUAAUGCCAUCAGGUUGGUAGCUACCCAGAUUGAAUAUAAGGUUUUGUUCUUCUAACCUGAGCAUGGCCUUAUCACGACAGUAGAGGAGGCCAUGGAUGGACUUUUUGGAACGGGAAUGGGAAGUGGAAUUAAAACGUGUGGCUACUGGGAGAUCCUGCUUUUUCUGGGUGAAUGGAGCACUGGUGCUGCCUGACUGACGACUGUUUUCCGGCAUUUUAUGUUUCUGCCUUAGAUGUCGAGUAUCGGAAGACUUUUUUUUGAUCCUCUAUCAUUGAAUAUAUAGAUUGUAAAAAGAUAUUUUUAGAUUGUUAAGCUUUAAAGAAGAAAAUUACAACUUUUGCAAUCUCUUUUUCUGCCCUUUUUUAUUUUUAUUGUGCCUGUAAACAAUUUAAUUCACUCACUCUUCUGUGAAUCAUCCCCUUGUUUAUUUCUUAGUCCACCUUAUUUAAUGCUGAGGGAGUGAACUCUCAGGACUUUUUAAAAUCUUUUCCUUCAUAUUUUUACCUAUGCCCUCUGCAGCCUGGAGAAAAGACGAUGACCACCCACAUACCCCUCAUGAUUUUAUGAUUUUAGUCAUUUCUCUGCAGUCACCCCUCAUUCUCCUGUUGGCCAGGGAGUCAAGAACUAGUGUCCCACUAUAAUUCAGGCCCUGUAGUCCAGGCAGCGUCUUAGUAAAUGUCUUCUGCACCCUGACCACCUUGACAAUGCCCUUCCAAUAACAGUGUGAUCAAGCCUGUACACAAUACUCCCAUGCAGCCUCAUCAAUGACUUAUAUAUCGGAAACAUAACGUCCCUACUCUGAAACUCCAUGUCCUGUCUGAUGAAGCCCAGCGUGCCAAACACCUUCUUAAUCACUCUGUCCAUUGUCUUGGCUCCCAUCCUGGUUUGACUGUCCAAAGUGCAUUGCAUCACACUUAUCUAGAAUUUAAUUUGUUUGCCAUUUCUCAGUCCAUUUCCCUAACUGAUCGAAAUCCACGGAGGGGAAUAAACAAUCAAUAUUUUGGGUGAGACCCUUCAUCAGGACAGAAAGGAAUGGGGAAGAAGCCAGAAUAAGAAGGGGAAUAAGCAGAAUGAUUAGAGGACCGGGAAUGAAGUAAGAAGCUAGGAUUUGACCUCCUCCCCUCACCCACCUACCUUUCCCCUCAUCUGGUUUCACCUAUCACCUGUCAGCUUGUACUCCCUCUACUUCCCCCCCCCCCCCCACAUCCUUAUCUGACAUAUCACUGCAGAGUGGGGUAGAAUGGAGAAGUCUGGGAAUACAGGCCCAUAGUCCCUUGAAAGUGGCCUCACAGGUAAAUAGAAUCAGAAAGACAGCUUCAGGCACAUUGCCCGAAUAAGUCAUGUAUUGAAUACAGGGUUGGAAUGUUGUGUUAAAGUUGCGUAAGACGUUGACGAGGCCUAAUUCAGAGUAUCGUGUGCAGUUUUGGUCACCCGCCUACAGGAAAGAUAGAAUAAGAUUGAAAGAGCAGGGAAAAUUUCCAAGGACGUUGCCAGGACCGGAGGACCUGAGUUACAGGGAAAGGCUGAAUAGGUUAGGACACUGUUCCCUGGAGUGUGGGAGAAUAAAGGGAGAUUUGAUACAGUUCAGAAUGGAGUCUCUUCACCACAGAGGAAAAUGGACACAGAGAUGGCAUCAAUUUUGCAGGAUAGCACCAUUUAGUUCACCAGCUGUUGCCUGCCCUGAGGACAUACGGACUUCCAUUUCUUGGAAGUGAGAAGAAUUAAAGGAAAUGCACGAGCAAGAUCAUUCAGACGAAACAGGGUUGUGAUGGAGGGUUAAUGAUUGGGCCACUGUUCAGGCCCAAGCCUUUCCUAGUAAACUAUAGAUGGUUAUAGCUGUAUUGUAUGUCCAAGAUGAAAAUUAGUCAGAUGGACCAGCAAACUGGAACUGUUAAAAGAGCAGAGAGUGUCCAAGCUGUUGUAGCUGUAGAUGGGAUGAGUAAAAAAGGAAUAAAUUCUAGGUGAGAAGUAAUGCAUCCUACAGGCCUAAAUGAAAGGGUUCCCUAGGAGAUGGUAAACUUUUCAUGUGAAUGAAUCAUCCAAUAAAAAAUCAUUUCCCCAUACCUUUCUUAAACGGUUUCCAAAAUCAGGCGUAAUGACCAAUAGAUCCACUUUGAUAAUUAUUUGAUAAUAAUUUUUACACUUUGACGAUAGAUCCACUCUUAUUAAAUGACCAUAAGUCUAUCCUCAAGACCAUAAAUUCAAAAAAAAAAAUCAUCUCCAGACUCCUAGACCUGGGACUCACUACUUCUUUGAACAACUGGAUGCUGGACUUCCUGACCAACAGACUGGUAUCAGUAAUGUUAGGCAGCAACACUUCUGGCACAAUUAUUCUCAACACCCCACAAGAUUGUAUCCUCAAUGUUCCUCCAAAACAAAAGAGCUAGUCAUUGGCUUAGAAAGCAGGGCAGAGCAUAGUCCCCAGUUUAUAUCAAUGGAGCUGAGAUAGAGAUGGUUGAGAGCUUCAAGUCCCUAUUUGUAAACCUCACUCCCACCCUGACCUGUUCUAGCCAUCUAGACGCAAUUACCAAGAAAGCACACCAGCACCUCUGCUUUCCCAAACAGCUAAGGAGAUUCAGUACUUCCUUGUUGACCCUCGCCAAUAUUUAUUGAUGCACCACAGCCUGUUAUGGCAACUGCUUUGCCCAAGUUCGCAAGAAAUUGCGUAGUGUCGACAGAGUUUAGCCCAUCACAAAACCAUCUUCCCUUUCAUGGACUUUGUCCACACUUCUCACUGCCUCAGUAAAGGCAGACUCCUCCCAUUGGCCAAAAGAUACAAAACCUGAAAACAUGUACCACCAGGCUUCAGGACAGCUUCUAUCCCACUGUUAAAAGGCUCUUGAACAGAUGUAUUGUAUGAUAAAUAUGAAAUCUUGACCUCUCAAUCUACCUCAUUGUGUUCCUGUAAUGCACUCUCUGUAACUGUAACACUAUAUAGUUACUGAUUUCCCCUUUGUACAACACUGAUAUACUUAAUUUUCUGUGUGUCAGGAGAUGUCACAAUAAUAAACCAAUUACUAAUUUCCUCCAGAAGGUAACA